AAAUAAAGAAAAAACUAGUCGCACGCCCCACCCGCUCGUCCCCAACCUCCACACUAUCCACCGCCGGCCUCCCACGCUCCCCCCGGCGGCCAGGCUCCCGCCUCCCAACCCUCCCCUCCCAUCCCCGCAGGCAAGUCGCCGCCGUCGCCUCCCCGCCACACCACCCACCGUCGUCGCCCGCACCUGCAACCGAUGCCGCGGACCCUCCACCCGUGCGCGUCUGUCGAUCUGAGGCUCACGCGCUGCCGCUUGAAGGUCCGCGCCGCCGCCGAUUGGAGGUCUUCGCGCGGAGCCGCUCACCACCGCCUCGAGGAUCCCCGGGCCGUCGACUUGAGGCUUGCGAGCUGCCGCCUGAAGGGUCGCGCCACCACCACCUUGUGGUCCUCGCGCGCGGCCGGUAGGAGGUCAUCUCUUCUUCCCCGCGACCGGCAGGUCCCCUUCUUCCCCGUGACCAGUGGUCUCCUUUCUUCCCUACGGCGGCUCCUUCUUCCCCAUGGCCGGCGGCUCCCCUGCUUCCCUAUGCGGCCUAUGCACUUUCUCCGGCAAUGCCGCCGCCACGUCCACGCAGCACAACUCCCAGGCCGUGAUUGUCAGCUGCAUCUUAUCGAGUAGGUCGCCCGCCUGCUGCUCUUAAUUUGUUGUGCUCUCGUGCGUAGCAGCUACUGCUUUUCUCUCUAUUUGAGCCUGCUUCUGCAGUUAUGCUGCUAGGUGAUGCUCCUGUUCCCAUAAUAUUGCCCAGCAGCAGUGCAAGUGGCUUCCCUUGGAAGUACAAGGAAAAUAGAUCAGAAAUCGUCCACUCUUCUCCUUUGAUUCUACAUGUUUCUUGGUGCGCUUGCAAGAAGGAAGACUGAAGAUUAAUGUGGAGGCGUCCUUCUCUCAGUCAUUUGGUGCAGCCACGGUAGAAAUCCUUGUCCUGGAUGGACAGGUACUGGAUGUAGUAGCAGAGGGGAGCAGCGACGGAGCUAAGGGGGGCCAGAAGGCUAAAACCAAGCAGUAAAGCCCAUCAUGGAAGAGAAAGGGGCUAGGAUGGCAGCGACGUAGUUACCACUUACCAGCGACAGAACGCAUCCCUUCGAUGCUUCGUUUCUGCUGCAUUUGGCGGCUGACGACGCAGACAAUUUGAUAUCCUAUGACAGAGAUAAUUCCCUAAAAUAAACUAUGAUGGUGAGAACUGAAAAGGGAGCAGCGAGUUGUGAUCCACAGCUGCAAGGCCGGCCGGCCACGAGAUCAGUAUGAGUGGCGUUGAGGAGACAAGGAAAAGGAGCUUGACAUGCAGUCGCAGCAGCUAGCUGAUGGAAGCCAACAGGUAACUGGUACAUGCCGACGAGCCAGCCAGAGGAUGUCCUCUAGCAGCUGGAGUGCGGAGCCAACAGGAGGAUGCACAAGGCUGCUGCCCUGGGUAAAGCUUUGCUGAACCACGACGAGCGCCUUGUCGCAGCAAUACACUGAAUUUCCACCUCCUGCUGCUAUAACAUGUUGCAAAAGAAAAGCUCAUUGGCUGUGUUCUGACUUGCUUGUUUGGAUUGAUUUGUUGUUGCUGCAAUACUUGAAUGAAGGGUACUAGUUUCAGUUUAAAACAUGUGUCUAGCUUGAGCUUGAUAACGUUGUGUUGUGAAUCAAAUCCCAUCUGUCACACGGCUGAUGUGCCCA